AGGGGUAUAGCUCAGUGAUAGAGUGCAUGCCUAGCAUGCAUGAGGUCCUGGGUUCAAGCCCCAGUACCUCCA
rnacentral:tRNA from 1 species